rnacentral:rRNA from 1 species
ACAGUGGACGCGAGCAUCUGUGGCCAAGUUUUUAAGGGCGCACGGUGGAUGCCUUGGCACCAGGAACCGAUGAAGGACGUGGGAGGCCACGAUAGUCCCCGGGGAGUCGUCAACCAGGCUUUGAUCCGGGGGUUUCCGAAUGGGGAAACCCGGCAGUCGUCAUGGGCUGUCACCCGCUGCUGAACUCAUAGGCAGUGUGGAGGGAACGCGGGGAAGUGAAACAUCUCAGUACCCGCAGGAAGAGAAAACAACCGUGAUUCCGGGAGUAGUGGCGAGCGAAACUGGAUGAGGCCAAACCGUAUGUGUGUGAUACCCGGCAGGGGUUGCGCAUGCGGGGUUGUGGGAUCUCUCUUCCACGGUCUGCCGGCCGUGGGACGAGUCAGAAACCGUUGAUGUAGGCGAAGGACAUGCGAAAGGUCCGGCGUAGAGGGUAAGACCCCCGUAGUCGAAACAUCAGCGGCUCGUUUGAGAGACACCCAAGUAGCACGGGGCCCGAGAAAUCCCGUGUGAAUCUGGCGGGACCACCCGCUAAGCCUAAAUAUUCCCUGGUGACCGAUAGCGGAUAGUACCGUGAGGGAAUGGUGAAAAGUACCGCGGGAGCGGAGUGAAA